rnacentral:rRNA from 1 species
GAUGAACGCUGGCGGCGUGCCUAAUACAUGCAAGUCGAGCGAACAGACGAGGAGCUUGCUCCUCUGACGUUAGCGGCGGACGGGUGAGUAACACGUGGAUAACCUACCUAUAAGACUGGGAUAACUUCGGGAAACCGGAGCUAAUACCGGAUAAUAUAUUGAACCGCAUGGUUCAAUAGUGAAAGACGGUUUUGCUGUCACUUAUAGAUGGAUCCGCGCCGCAUUAGCUAGUUGGUAAGGUAACGGCUUACCAAGGCGACGAUGCGUAGCCGACCUGAGAGGGUGAUCGGCCACACUGGAACUGAGACACGGUCCAGACUCCUACGGGAGGCAGCAGUAGGGAAUCUUCCGCAAUGGGCGAAAGCCUGACGGAGCAACGCCGCGUGAGUGAUGAAGGUCUUCGGAUCGUAAAACUCUGUUAUUAGGGAAGAACAAAUGUGUAAGUAACUAUGCACGUCUUGACGGUACCUAAUCAGAAAGCCACGGCUAACUAUGUG